rnacentral:rRNA from 1 species
AUUGAACGCUGGCGGAAUGCUUUACACAUGCAAGUCGAACGGCAGCACGGGGGCAGCCCUGGUGGCGAGUGGCGAACGGGUGAGUAAUACAUCGGAACGUGCCCGGUCGUGGGGGAUAACGUAGCGAAAGUUACGCUAAUACCGCAUACGAUCUGAGGAUGAAAGCGGGGGACCUUCGGGCCUCGCGCGAUCGGAGCGGCCGAUGUCAGAUUAGGUAGUUGGUGGGGUAAAGGCCUACCAAGCCGACGAUCUGUAGCUGGUCUGAGAGGACGACCAGCCACACUGGGACUGAGACACGGCCCAGACUCCUACGGGAGGCAGCAGUGGGGAAUUUUGGACAAUGGGCGCAAGCCUGAUCCAGCCAUUCCGCGUGCAGGACGAAGGCCUUCGGGUUGUGAACUGCUUUUGUACGGAACGAAAAGGCUCUGGCUAAUACCUGGGGCUCAUGACGGUACCGUAAGAAUAAGCACCGGCUAACUACGUG